CAGAGAUAACAAAAUGUAUCUAAAAGAUGCUGUGUUGUUCAAUGUACACGUACCCAGGUCAAAAGUCCUGACCUCAUGUCCGCAAUGGUCACACGUAGGGAAAUAGAACCUAUCAGAAGAGCCCUGUGGCUUCUUGCUAUUCGGCAUGGAAGAGUGGGAAAUGUGGGGACCCGGUGUCUACGUAGGCUACACGUAACUAUGUGGAAAACUAUGGAUCACAGAUGUCUGUGAGUGAGCAGAGAAGAGAGGAGAAAGAGGACAGCAGGAAGUUAUCACAGUAUGAAGAGACUUCCCUCGACAUACUACACGUCGACACAACUAACAAUUCCCCUUCCUGUUGGUGUUUUGUUUUGUGAGCCGUCCAGGACUCCUAAAUUAGACGCCUCUCCCUGGUUUUACUGCAACUUAUCAUCUCCUCUUGGCAUUGUUGCAGACAUCAAUCCAACCGAGAGAGCUGCAUCCUCUAUUUUUCAUGUAAAGAGGCAAGGUUUGUGUCCCAAAUAGCACCCUUUUCCCUAGGUAGUGCAUUCGUUUUGACCAGACAUGGUCAAAAGUAGUGGACUGCAUAGGGAAUAGGGUGCCAUUUGGGAUGCAGUUAUGGCCUUGGAAGCCUUGUCAGUAAAUCAGAAAGUAUUUUUCUGGUGUGGAACCCACAGCAGCUGUCUCAAUAGGGUGGUGGGGACUACUGUGAGUCUGAAGUUUGAGAGUGGGGGUUGAGAGAUAUGGACUUCGGUUUGUUUCCUUUAGUUCACCCUUCUUCACUCAUACUUUUUCUGUCACAAAUGAGCUAUAAAUUGAUGAUAUAGCGACGGGAGGAAGAAAAAGGACACGAGGUGGGUAGACACUAUGCCUCCGACUGUCAUUAUAAACUGUGAAAGACAACAACAAUAACAACAACAACAAAACAACAGCAGUCUCACCACACUAGUAAAUCUCUCUGUUGGUGUAACAGACAAUACAAGGACCUGAACAAAAGAAAUUAAGAAUGGAAAGAGGGAGGGAGACUGGAGAGGAAGGAAAGAGUAGAGACUGAAAAGGAGAGAAAGAGAUUGGAGACAAAAGAGGAGAGAAAUCGUUUGGACAGGGAAUCAAGUUGAGAUAGGGAGUGGUUAAGAUGAAAUAGAGAGUGAAGAUGAGAAUGAGACAGAAGAGAAGAGGGAGAUAUGAAAGGGAGAUAGGAAAUGAGACUGGAAAGGAGAGGGAGAGAGGGGUGACGGAGCGAUAGAGACAGAAGAGGAGAGGGAGAGAGAGGUUAAGGCGCAGUAGGCUGAAGAGGAAAGGGUGAGAUAGAAGGAGAGUGUUUAAGGGCCAGCAGUCUGAUAGGUCUGUCUGUGAAACCUCAGUCACACUUCAGUGAAAAGCAACCUUAUGUACAGCCCCCACUCUGAGCACAUCUAUAUUCGCAACUACGUUAAGCCUACAUGGUCGGAAUAUGUUUGGAAAAUUCAAAGCAACACUUAAGCCACUGCGUCACUCACUGACCAACGCAAUUCACGAGGCUGAGGUCAUUAGCCCAAUGACUGUUGAAAGUGAUGGACUUCUCAGGGUGCACACA